CCCUUAGAUGUUCUGGGCCGCACGCGCGCUACACUGACUGGUUCAUCGAGUAUACAACCUUGACUGAUAGGUCUGGGUAAUCUUCUCAAAGCCAGUCGUGCUGGGGAUAGAUUAUUGUAAUUUUUAAUCUUCAACGAGGAAUUCCUAGUAAACGCGAGUCAUCAACUCGCAUUGAUUACGUCCCUGCCCUUUGUACACACCGCCCGUCGCUACUACCGAUUGGAUGGUCCGGUGAAGCCUCGGGAUUGUGGUUCUUGCCGCUUUAUUGUGGCGUGACCGCGAGAACUUGUCUAAACCUUAUCAUCUAGAGGAAGGUGAAGUCGUAACA
rnacentral:rRNA from 1 species